GACGAACGCUGGCGGCGUGCCUAAUACAUGCAAGUUGAGCGCUGAAGGUUGGUACUUGUACCGACUGGAUGAGCAGCGAACGGGUGAGUAACGCGUGGGGAAUCUGCCUUUGAGCGGGGGACAACAUUUGGAAACGAAUGCUAAUACCGCAUAAAAACUUUAAACACAAGUUUUAAGUUUGAAAGAUGCAAUUGCAUCACUCAAAGAUGAUCCCGCGUUGUAUUAGCUAGUUGGUGAGGUAAAGGCUCACCAAGGCGAUGAUACAUAGCCGACCUGAGAGGGUGAUCGGCCACAUUGGGACUGAGACACGGCCCAAACUCCUACGGGUGGCAGCAGUAGGGAAUCUUCGGCAAUGGACGAAAGUCUGACCGAGCAACGCCGCGUGAGUGAAGAAGGGUUUCGGAUCGUAAAACUCUGUUGGUAGAGAAGAACGUUGGUGAGAGUGGAAAGCUCAUCAAGUGACGGUAACUACCCAGAAAGGGACGGCUAACUACGUG
rnacentral:rRNA from 1 species